rnacentral:rRNA from 14 species
UGCGAGUUUGAUCCUGGCUCAGGAUGAACGCGAGUCGGCGUGCCUAACACAUGCAAGUCGUAUGGGGCUUCGGCCCCAUGGCGUACGGGUGAGUAACACGUGGGCACCUGCCCCCAGAUACGGGUAUAAUGGAGGGAAACCUUCGGUAAUCCCCUAUAGGCGCAGGAAGUGCUUUGGAAAGUUCUAGCUGCUAGCUAGAGUGUCUGGGGAUGGGCCUGCGGCUGAUUAGCUAGUUGGUGCGGGUAAUGGCCUACCAAGGCGAGGAUCAGUAGCUGGCCUGAGAGGGCGGCCGGCCACAUUGGGACUGAGACACGGCCCAGACUCCUACGGGAGGCAGCAGUGGGGAAUAUUGGACAAUGGGCGAAAGCCUGAUCCAGCAAUGCCGCGUGAGUGAUGAAGGCCUUAGGGUUGUAAAGCUCUUUCAACGGUGAAGAUAAUGACGGUAGCCGUAGAAGAAGCCCCGGCUAACUUCGUGCCAGCAGCCGCGGUAAUACGAAGGGGGCAAGCGUUGUUCGGAAUUACUGGGCGUAAAGCGCACGUAGGCGGAUCAGAAAGUUGGGGGUGAAAUCCCGGGGCUCAACCCCGGAACUGCCUCCAAAACUAUUGGUCUAGAGUUCGAGAGAGGUGAGUGGAAUUCCGAGUGUAGAGGUGAAAUUCGUAGAUAUUCGGAGGAACACCAGUGGCGAAGGCGGCUCACUGGCUCGAUACUGACGCUGAGGUGCGAAAGUGUGGGGAGCAAACAGGAUUAGAUACCCUGGUAGUCCACGCCGUAAACGAUGUCUACUAGCCGUUGGAGAACUUGAUUCUUUAGUGGCGCAGCUAACGCACUAAGUAGACCGCCUGGGGAGUACGGCCGCAAGGUUAAAACUCAAAUGAAUUGACGGGGGCCCGCACAAGCGGUGGAGCAUGUGGUUUAAUUCGAUGCAACGCGAAGAACCUUACCAGGCCUUGACAUCCUGAGAACUUUCUAGAGAUAGAUUGGUGCCUUCGG